ensembl:lncRNA
GAACCACUCCACCAUACCAAACAUUUCAAGCUUCUUUAUCAGUCCGUACAGGAUUACGGAGUCCAUAUAGGAGAUUUUUUUUUUAUUGUUGCGGCCAAAAAUACUUGAUUUUGGUGCGCCUUUUAACAAAAUUGCAAUGCAUUUCCUAUGUCUUAUGAGUUAUGACCCUGUCAUAUCGAAAUAGCAAUAGCAGUUACUCCGUUUACUAUUUGACUUCCUCAGUGUCGCAUACGGAGCCUGCCAAAAUUCAAACGGAAUCGCAAAUCCCUUUGCAUUUGCAUUUACAAUGUCUUGCACAGAAACCUGCCAAUCAGUGUUGGGGGUGGGAAUAUACUAUGGGGCGUGUUUGUAUUUGGAAGUGAUAUCAUGGGAAACGCAAGUAAGACACAGGAAAUGCAAUUGCAAAUAGACUUUGCAUUUUUUUUUUCCUUUUGUAAUUUGGCAGUUGCUUUUGAAAAUUGUCUCCAAAAUUCUUCCAUAAUAUCCAUUACCUGAACUGUGCAGACAAAUGUGCAGUCUCUUUUGGAUUUUGCAUGUGCUGAUUAACAGUAAUAUUGUACAAGAGGCAAUAAGAAAAUAAUAUGAGUGGGUUAAAAAAAAACAAACUGCCAUGCUAUUGACAGACAAAACACAAAAAACAGCUUUUAUGAAUAAUUCUGAGACAUUUUAAAACAUUAUAUAUAAUGAUUUAUGAAAUAAGAAGCUCAUUCUUUUGAAGGGUGGCAAUAAUUCUGGAGUUGACUGUACACACAUACAUAGAUGAAUAACACUGUGGGGAUAUCGGAGAUAGUUAAAUCACACAAGAUUCAAUUAACAAUAUUUCUUUAAAGGCACAAUUAUAUCAAUAUGAAAACUUACCACAGAAUAUUGUCGUAUUAGCUAAGGAAGUGGGGAAAAAACCUGAGACCAGUGCUAUAUUUCAAUAUUCAAUAUCAAUAUGUAAAUAUGAUCCAUAUAUUAGAACAAGUUAUUUGUGCUCAUGGAAAAAAAACAACCUUGUGAUUUGGCUUUGAUCUUGCAUUCAGUGUAGAAAUGAGACGGAAAUGAUGUUACAGGGAUUUGAUGGCAUUGCAGCAGCUUGGUGAGUGUUUCUAUGGUAACUCAUGAGUCUGGUCACGCCUCAUUAGAGGACACAGCAUUUUCACCUAGCCCGGAUAGUUCCGGAAUCUACUCUCUCCAUGCUAAUUGCCUUUGGAUGCCAUCGGCUCACUGCGCACAGCAGUGUCACACAUCCCUGAUGAGACUCUCUCUGACGGCAAACGUUCAACCUUUCAUGGCACAGAUAGUAUUUGUUAAGAUCAGGCAGUUCUGUUGCUCUGAUAAUUAAUAAAAACUUCCUCUUUUGUGGACUUAUUGACAAAUCAUGCCCAAUAAAAUCUCAUAAAAAUCUCAUUUAAUCUGUGAUUAAAAUCAUGCAUUUGAUAUGCAGCUGAAUGUGAGAUCUUUGUAGAUCUGUUAACAUGGUUUAACUGAAUUAAGAGCUGUGAGUAAACAAAAAUAAGUAGGCAAAAACUCAAGUUUUUGUGUAGAUCUCAUAUUAAAUUGUUUCAGAAAUUAAAACAGAAUGUAAGAUAAAACAAAGGCAACCUGAGUUAACACAGAAUACAUUUUUUAUUUUAUUUUAUUUUAUUUUUUUUAUACAGGUAAUAAACAGUACUAAUAUAAUGUGAUAAUGUGUCUUAUCAGAAAUUUUGCUAAUUGACCAAUUUUUGUUACUUAUCUAUUAUCAAAAGAUCAUUUCUUUGAAUAAUUUUAAUUAUCUGAAAUGGGAAAAGGUCAGUACAACUUUAGUUAAAUGAAUCUUUGCUAUUUAAUUACUGUUGCUAAAAAAUAAUUUUAAAAUGAUAAUUUAUACAGUUGAUAUAAAAAGUCUACACACCCUUGUUAAAAUUUCAGGUUUUUGCAAUGUAAAAAAAAAAAAACAAUAUAUAAAGAUAAAUCAUACCGGAUGUUUUUCCACCUUUAAUGUGAUACAGCAGCCAACAAAAUUCACGUGGAAAAAAACACCAAACAAAACAUUUUAGGGGGAACAAAAAAAUGUACAAUAACCUAGUUGCACAAGUGUGCACACACUAUUAAAUGGGGCAUGCAACUGUGCUCAGAUUUAACCAAUCACAUUCAAACUCAUGUUCAAAGGUGAUACUGAUUAAACCCAAAUAAAUAUCGGCUGAUUCUAUAGAAUUUUCUUGACAUCUUGGUUUGCAUCCGACAUUAAUUUAUGAUCUGCAAAGAGUUUACAACACUGGGAAGACCAUCAUCAACAAGUGAUACCAGUGGCACCAAAAUAUAGGAACUGCAAAAAAAAGGGCAACCCCCCCCCCAAAAAAAACCCAUAAAUAAUUGUGUGCACUUAUAUAGCGGUUUUUUCCAAAGCGCUUUAUACUGUGUCUCAUUCACCCAUUCACACACACACUCACACACCAAUGGUAGCAGAGCUGCCAUGCAAGGCGCUAACUUGCCAUCGGGAACAACUUGGGGUUCAGUGUCUUGCCCAAGGACACUUCGGCAUGUAGAGUCAUGUGGGCCAGGAAUCAAACUGCCAACCUUAUGACUAGUGGACAACCCGCUCUACCACCUGAGCCACAGCCACCCUAAAAAAAAAUCAGGGGGGCUAAAAGAGACCUAUAGCAACAUUAAAGGAGUUACAGGAAUAUCUGGUAAGUACUGGUCAUGCCCUGCCUGUGACAACAAACUCUCAUAUUCUUCACAUUCUUACAAAAACAAGACAGUUUAUCACCCAAAGAUCACCAUACCCAUAGUGAAGCAUGGUGGUGUCAGCAUCAUGAUAUAGGGCUGCUUCUCUUCAGCUGGGACUGGGGCUCUAGUCAAAAUAGAGGGAAUCAUGGAUAACACCAAAUACCUAUUUAUUUUGGAACAAAACCUGCAGGCCUCUGUUAGACAGCUAAAGAAAAUUUUCACCUUCCAGCACUAUAAUGACCCAAAGCACAAAUCCAAAUCAACAAAGGAAUGGCUUCAGACCCAGAUGAUCAAAGUUUUGGAAUGGCCCAGUCAGAGCCCAGGUGUAAAUUAUAUCUCAAACUUGUGGAAUGCCUUGAAGAGUGCUGAAAACAGGAGAUACUGUUAUAAUUUGAUAGAUUUGGAGCAUUUUGCAAGGAAGAGUGAGAAACAAAAUUCCAAAUCAAGAUGUGCUGAAUUGGUAGGCUCCCCCCAUAAUUUUAUCUUGAUCACAAAAACCUGCAGUAUUAACAGGGUUGUGUAGACUUUUUAUAUUCACUGUAAAAACACAAUAGUAAUUUUUGUAUACUUGUAGAAAUAGGAGUAGCCACAACUGUGCCAUGGUGUUGUGCAAGAUUGGGUUAGCUUCUGGGAGAUUUCCAAAUUCCAGACUAUAUAGCCUCAGCAUGAAGUAAUGAAUAUAGGGAAUGUAAGAAAUGUCCAGAUCUAGACAAGAACGACACUUCCAAGAAAAAAAAAUGCAGCUUGAGUUUAGAAAAAGGGGAGGCGAGCUUUGAGAGGAGGAAGUUAAGAUGAGAGCAGAGGCGAGGAAGAGGGGCAAGACUUUAAAGUGGGGGCCAGUCAAAGGAAAGUAGCAGGAGCAGGGGGAUGGGAUAUGAGGAGGGGACCUUGCUUGGACACAAGAGAAAAAGCAGCUGAAUGAAGAAAACUGUACAGUGCAGACUGUAUACUGAUUAGUUUUCAAUAAUGGGCCUCGUCUUUAAUUCAGCCAUGUGCCUUUGGAACUCGUAUGCCUCUGGGAUGUUGUUUCAAUUUAUCAUUUAACUGAACUCAAGCAAAGUACUUAAGGUAAAGUACAACUGGCAAUUCUACAAAUUCAGCAGAUCUCCAAUUCUCCCAGCUGUCCUCACUCUCAUUAUUUGGAGUCUUUUUUAUGACCAAUGUAGCACCACUGAAACAAAAAAAAGUAAUGAUCAACACAAAUAUGCUGCUCUAAUAUACACUGGCUAACACAUUAUUUUCUGUCAGGUUUCAUCGCUCGGUCCGAGCUCAGUGUGCUUUCCCAUGGGGAUUCAGGAUGUGUGUACUGUAGUGUGAGUGCCUCUAUAGCAGGCUGUGUUUAUGGUGCACAGUGCUUGUGGUUCCACUGUUUUCAUGCCUGCGGUGUGUGGGCACAGGCCUGGCCGAUACAACUGCUGUACUCGUACUUAUCUCCAACGGGGACGGAGAGGAAAGGACGACAGAGCUGCGUACGAAUCGGAUAAUGACUUCAUUCCCUGUAGGCAAAGUCACUGUUUAUGCAGUUCUAUCCAAUUUGAUCUAAAUAGCCUGUAAUAUGAGUGCCUCCAAUGGCAUUCAUGUAAUUGCUCUGGCUUGUGGCGUAUGAAAUUAUGUUAUCAUGCUGUGGCAAUCACACAUACACACAUACUUAUGGGUGCUGAAACACUUUUGCUUAAAACUUUAUUCUACAUGGAAUUAGGCCUGUGCAUUAAAAUAAAGGAGAAAAUACGAGGACCUUCCUUGUUACAAUCACCACAAAUUAUAGUCCAUGUACGCUAAGAGGCUAAUUGACAGUUAUGUGGAAGUAGCUUUUAAAUGAGUACCAUAAAUAUUUGCAGGUCGUCUAUGUACAACCUGCAUAGAUAGCAGUGGCGGUUCCAUGGGGGAAGGUGGGGCAGAGUUCCACCAUAUAUAUCAGCCGUUCAACAAAUAUUAAUCUUCACAAAGUCCUCAGUCACAACUCCAUAUAAUUUAAAUUCCAUUGAAUACUAAUUAGCUCUUUUGUGCAACUAACAAUUUUGGAAAAAGAUGUCACUUUUUGACAGAUAUAAGAUGAUGUUCCACUGAUUUGCUCACCAUUCCAGAUGUUGCACAAUCAUAGGGCAACAUACUCACUGACCCCUAUACACUCCUGGGAAAAAAAAAAGAAAAAAAAAAAAGGGCUAAGGCAAAAAUAUUAAGCUUUUAAUGGUCGUAACAACAAAUGAGCAAGAAUUAAACAAAUACACUCCUGUGCCAUUAUAUGCUCCUUUACUUUUGCUGCAUUGACCUGUUUGGGGAAAAACUAGAAUCAAGGAAAUUCUUUACUGUAUAUAGUCUUCUUGUAUGCAAAGGUAAAAUCAUGAUAAUAAUUAAAAUGUUUGAUGUAAAAUUCAAACUAACACAUGUCUGGGUGCACAAAAUUAAAAUAAAGUAAAAAAUAAAACAAAAAUAAAAAUCAUUAAAAUAAAUAAAUAAAAACAUAAAAAGCUGUCCGUAAGUUUACCUAUAAGGUUUAAACAUUUCAAUUAAACAACAAAAAUUGUCAUACCAAGUUACUUUAUAUAUUUGUUUAAUUCUUGCUAACUUCCUGACUAAUGAGUAACCAUUAAAAGCUUAAUGAUUUGCCAUUUUGGGAUUGGCUCGUUUUUUUUUUUGGCCCAGGAGUGUAGCUCCAUAGGUUUAUUUUUGCACCUAGUAGUUAAAACUGGCGCAUGGUGGCUUAGUGGUGUGUGUGUGGAGUUGCAUGUUCUCCCCGUGCUGUGGGGGUUUCCUCCAGGUAAUCCGGUUUCUUCCCCCAGUCCAAAGACCUGCAUGGUAGGCUGAUUGGCAUUUCCAAAGUGUCGGUAGAGUGUGAAUGUGUGUGUGAUUGUGCCCUGUGAUGGAUUGGCACCCUGUCCUGGGUGUACCCCGCCUUGUGCCCGAUGCUCCCUGGGAUAGGCUCCAGGUUCCCCAUGACCACUUUUUGACAGAUAUAGAAGAUGGAUUUUAGUUAAAAAAUGGGAACAGCAACAGAAACAAACACUAAUAGAAGCCAAUUGGGGGACGAAUCACACUGCCCCAUGCUCAUUCUGUGAACAUAUUCACUUGAUGAGUGGACAGGACAAUUCAUGAUUUGGUGGAUUUUCUGCCAAUUUGUGCCAGGUUAAAAAUCUCUGCAGUUGCCAAGAUCUUGUUCUAUAUCAAACAAUCAGAAUUGAAUCUAAUAGAUUUCUGUGUGUAAUUAAAGUGUAAGUGCAGACAGUGUGUCUAUAAUGUACAGAACAAUUUCUAUUGUAAGACAUGCAAAGGAGAAUUAUGCAGUGGAUAUUGACUGUACAUCAGAAAUGCAUGUGCAAACAAAAAAUUGAUCUCAAUUUCCUAUGCUCAGUUUUUUGGGGGCUACUUUCAGGUUUUUUGUGUGUUUCAUGAGACGCAGUUAGGCUGAAAAUUUUGCUGAAACCUGGCAAUCCUGGUUAAUUCAAUGUGGUGAGAAACACACUUAAAAUGAGCUGUUAGCUUGUACACUGGAUUUUUUCCCUUACCACCUUCUCGUCUGGAUUGCUCAUUAAGGAUCUAAAUUUACAUUUGAAUUUCUGUAAAGCUGCUUUGUGACAAUGUCUAUUGUUAUAAGUGCUAUAUAAAUAAAACUGAAUUGAUGACACUCAUUUUGAACUCACCUGCAUAAUGCAUUCUUGGCAUCUGCGAAGUGACUAUAGUCAAAAGUUUUUAAAAAGAAAAAUCUGGUUGAAGCAGGACAGAUCCACUGCUUUUGGGAACUCCUCACUGGUGCAUUUUAUGCUUUUCUAACUAAAAGCAGAGAGCGAUGGGAUUGGUACAUACUGCAUAGCAGCAGUGAGAACUGUGUGGCUCUCCUAACAAAUCGGACAUAUGUGCAUGUCUUUAUAUUAGGUCCUUGUAUGACAAAGUAGUUUAUUGUCAUUUACACCACCAUUAAUGCCACAGUGAAGUGCUUCAGUCAUGCUACUAUUGACUCAGGUUUCUGCUUGCCAUUGUCCACCUGCAGGGCUAGUCUCAAUUAAGCCCUCCCACAAGUAGGUAAUGGGUUUUCAUGGACCACUUGAGAAGCCGUGCAAACCAGGAGAGGGCUAAAUAAGAGUGCUUCUCCCUCUCUCUCUCUCUCUUUCUCUCGUCUCUUAUUCAUCUGAUGGUAUUCCCCCUAGUGGGUUUUCCAACUCUCUAUCAGAUAACUGUUUUGUUCCUCUUCAUCCCUUCUUAGUGCAUAUAGAAGUGCACGUUCGAUAUCCGGCAUUUUACUAAAAGUAAAAGUGUACGGUGACCCCCAAUGUGCCACCAUAAUGCAGGCGGUAUCUGGAAAGGCAGGCAUGGUGUGGGCUGGGUGGAGGGAUGUGAGCGCAGCCCUUUUGAUGUGUGCCCUGGUCGGGUCAUGCCUGUCUGCUUGGCUCAUGGCUCAGGGGACUCCAUGGGACUUCACAACCUUCUUUUGGAGAGGCCGGGUUUGAAGCGAGAGACCCCCUGUGGUGCACAAUGAAUGGUCGCAUACCUAGCCGAUAGCCGUUUGUGCAGCGGCCCGGGGGCCAAAAGAAUGGCAGGAAGUGAAGAGAAAGGACUGGGGGGGAGGGGAGAAAGUGCACAUGAACUUGGCUGAUACCAUCUGUUAUUUCCUCUGGAACCCCAUUUUCUGCAGCCCCUGGUGUCACCACACUCACCCACUUGGAUGGACAUCUGAAAUAAACACAGGCUUUAUGUGCUCCAGAAAUGGCUUGUACUAAAGGUUUCAGAUUUAAAGUAAAAGCCAUAUUCACAUCUUAAGACAUGAUAGGCUCCUGUUAGCAACUUCUUAUUCCUUCCAGAUGUUGGCUU